UAGGGAAUCUUAGGCAAUGGGGGCAACUCUGACCGAGCAACGCCGCGUGAGUGAAGAAGGUUUUCGGAUCGUAAAGCUCUGUUGUAAGAGAAGAACGUGUGUGAGAGUGGAAAGUUCACACAGUGACGGUAACUUACCAGAAAGGGACGGCUAACUACGUGCCAG
rnacentral:rRNA from 1 species